UUUGGUCGCCGGUUUCUCCAAUGAAGGAGAAGGCAACCAGUGGCCUAGCUUCUCCUUCGUUGGAGAAGCCGGCGACACCA
rnacentral:pre_miRNA from 1 species